AUUUGAUGAAGGUUUGGGUUAUCAACUCUAAGUGAAGCAAUGAGCCUUCAUCUACGACAAAAUCCAAUGGAUGCAAAAUUCAAUGGAUUGAAAAUCUGGAUAAUGUGGAUAUGCACAUUUUACUGAUGGCUACCUUUUUUCAGUAUUGAAAAGUUCACUGAUUUUUAAGUCAAUGUAGAACAGACAACAAUACAGAUCAAGGUGUGGAGACCCCUUUUCAUCAACAAAGCAACAAGACAAAAAAUUAUGAGAUUUACACCUUUUGCUCCCUUCCUCUUCUAGGAUCUAUACAUAAAAGGGGGAUGGAGGCUCCUUUAGUAGUAUACAUGUACUCUGAUUCUAGUCAAGUUAAUAGGAAGUUGGUUAGAAAUAAGUGCCCAUACAGCCAAACCUGCGAUCACCAUUGAUCAAGAAUCAUAAAAAUCCAAGGAAACCAUCAUCCAUCAUCCAUCAUCACCAGCAGAUGAUUGAAAAUUGCUGGCAGUGCUCAACCCAAUAAAACUCUACAAUUUAUAUUUUGCCUGGUUUACAGGAGGCAAGAGAGAUCCGGUUAUGAGUCUGAGAUAGGUUUGGCUUUGAAGAACUUGGCAACUGCCUGGUAGAGAUUUUCUUCCUCAAAAGGCUUUGACACGUAUCCAUCCAUCCCGCAUUUUAGGCACUCAUCAUAUGUGGCAUGUAUCACGUCAGCAGUCAUGGCUAAAAUUGGCACAUGCCACUCACCCUUUUUAGCAGUUCCUUCUUCCACCAUGGAUUGACCAUUUAUCUGGUCAUUUGCCACGCUCUCCAUCUGCCGGAUACGGCGAGUUGCCUCAAACCCAUCCAUUUCUGGCAUUUGAAUAUCCAUGAAGCAUGCAUCAAAACUGUGUGGUAGUUGAAGCAAUUUUAGCGCUGUUUUGCCACUGUCGGCACACUCCACAUUAGCUCCAAACUUCUUCAGUGCACCUGCAGCAACUCUACGGUUUACCAUAUUGUCAUCAACCACCAGAAUUUUCUUGCCACAGAGUAGACUCCGGAGAAAAGAAGAUCCAUUCGGCACAUCUUUCCCUUGUGGCCUCUUCUUCCCCAGUCCCAACACCUGCUGAAGACAUGCAGCCACCAUACUUGCUCUCAAAGGUUUCAUGAUCACAGUAUCUGCAAAACCUGAUGCUUUUGCUUUAUUAAAUUCAUCAUUACUGAUAUUAGUAGCAAGAAGUAUCAUCUUAGGCAACUUAAAAACGAGUCCACUCUGCUUCCAGUCCAGUGGCCAUACGCUUGAACAACCAUCCUCCCCUGAAAUCCAUGAGUCCUUCUCAACCAGAACUAUAUCUGGCUGGGUACUGCUGCCACUGAAAAUAAAAAAGUGGUGCAGCUAAAUACAUUAUAUCAUAAUUUCAAGUUCUAAACAAAAUGUAGAAAUAGGAAUUCUAUUGUAGAUUUUUUUUAAUUGAUUCCUCGAGAAAUCUUCUUUCUGGUCAUCUUGUAGGAAGCAUAGCUAGCAUUCCCUGUCAACUAGGCGCAUGGUUCAUGUCUUAUUGUGCACCAGUUACUUAUGGAACAGAACAUCUAAUCUACUUAAGAAAAACUCCCAGAGCAUGACCUAAUAUAAGUGCAUACCUCCCGAAUUCAGGAGAGAAUCUAAUGACAGUCAUAUCUUCUUUGAUUAUCUUAUCUAGAAAUGGCAAUUCCACGCAUUACCUUUACCGGUGAUAUACCUUUGCCGGUGAUAUAGAUAAAACAGUGCAUUUACAAAUCCACAAAGCAACUGCUCUGAGGGUAAAAGAGGAAACUUUAUCAAGAGUAACUCACAAAAUCCAUAAAGUUAAAAUCUCACACCAUAUACCCUAAACUUAAAAGCAAGACAUAAGAUAAAUAACAAGAUAGAAUUGACAUCAAAUCUAUUUUUUUCAUACGGAGUCCAAACUAUAAAACUGAAGUCCUACCAGGACAAAACUCAACUCAACCUUAAUCCCAAUGUAGUUAGGAUUGGCUAUAUUCCACCAUGUUUAUAACUACUACUAACAGGAUAAAAAAAAGUACCGUACUAUUUUGAGGCAAGACUUACAAUAGAAUCUUACUCGCAGAAGUGUUCUAUACUUCUAUUUCGCUUCAAAGUGGUUUUAAGGGAAAAAUUAAUUUGCUCCAAAGUGGUUUUAAGGGAAAAUUUAAUUUGGGGAAGAAGAAAAGUGCAUUCUGCUCUAACAAAUAGCUAGUUUAGCACCCUCAAAUUAGAUAUAUUGAAUGUGGUAGCUUCUGAAGAUUUCCUCUCUUGUAAGUAACUGAUAAAGCCAUACAAACAUCUUCAAUUAGGGGCCAAAAAUUGCAGAUAUAUCUUUUGUUAUUCUUCCCAUGUAAAUUUAAUCAAAGAUAUCUAUGAAGAACUUACCCAGACGUCAGUGAACCAUUUUUUCCCCAGGUACCUGCAGCCACCUUGAGGCUACUUGCAACUUCAGCCACAAUACCAAGCCUCUUCAAAUGGUAUCUGGUUACAGCAGCCCUAACUGGUUUUCCAUCAACUACCAUUGCUUUCAAUCCUCUGAAGCUGGAAGGAAGAUCUUCAGAAUUUCGCUUUUCCAUUUUGUUAAAUGCAUUUUUCUUGCACCUCCCAAAAGCAGCAGUGAAUGAAAAUGUGCUUCCAACCUGCGGCCGGCUAAUAAAGUUUAUAUGACCACCCAUAAGCUCAACCAGACAUUUACUGAUGCUCAAGCCAAUACCAGUUCCUCCAUAAUUUCUCGAGGUUGAACUGUCUGCCUGCAUGAAGGGCAUGAAAACACGAUCCUGAGCAUGCAAGGGGAUUCCAAUUCCUGUAUCCUCCACAGAUACCAUCAAAGUAACACUCUCGGAAGCUUCAUUAGUGGUUAGCACAUUUAAUGAACCACUGGAUUGGAAUUCUUCAUCAGCAACUAAAUGCUUAAAGGCUUCCCAACUGUUCCGAUCAUCAGCUGCUUCAAAACCACUUAAGGUUUUGAACUGGCGAGCACCAGACAUUAUUACACUUUCUUUGGAUCCUCCACUCAAACAACUGUCAGCUUUUGCAAAUGUAGUGGCCUUAGCAUGUUCAUCUAAAUGAACUUUAACAAAUAUAUGCCCUCGUUCAGUGAACUUAACAGAGUUCCCCACAAGAUUGGUAAUUAUCUGUCUGAAUCUCCCAGGAUCCCCCAGAACAAUAUCUGGAACUUUGUCAGAAACAAACACAGCCAGCUCAAUUCCUUUGUUUCUAGACUUCUCAGAAAAUAAAGAAAGAACAUCAUCUAGUAUGGACCGAAGGUCAAACGGGACAGCUUCAAGCUCCAACUUGCCAGCUUCAAUUUUUGCCCGGUCAAGCACCUCGUUUAUCAAUGCUAUCAGUGCCUUUCCACAAGCUUGAGCAGUUUGAGCAUAAUCCCUUUGUGUUGAACUUAAAUCAGUAUCUAGGAGCAAAGCCAGCAUUCCAAGGAUGCCAUUCAUAGGUGUUCGGAUUUCAUGAGAUACAGUAGCAAGAAACUGGGAUUUGGCAACAUCAGCAGCUUCUGCACGGACUUUCAGCUCCUGCAUUUCAUGAAAAUCAUCCUCCACUUUGACAAUAUGAAUUGCUGCGCCAUAUAAGAUAUAACCCACUAACAAACCGAUCACAAAGAAUAAGAAUGCAGUAGUGAGUGCCGUCCAUGACGUUGGCGCCUUCUCAUGAUAUCUACAUAUCAUCUGAUGUUUCCUGAAUGGGUCUCCAAAAUCAAGCUUGCUUUCAUGCACAAGAGACAUGUCACCAUCUUGAUUUUGGUGACCAUACAUGAUUAAGGGAUCUGAAGAGUUAGUUACAUCGUAAACAUUCACUAAAAUUGCCUGAUUCCCAGCAAGUUGUCCAAGUAAAUUCUCCACGAGGGACUCAACAUCAAAGGCUCCACCAAGGUAUCCUGCACUUGCUUCUAUACGCUGUGCCACUGUGGGGUUUUGAGGAAGCUUAGACCUGUAAACUGGGAACGUCAAGACGACACCAAGAUGAUGCGAACCUAGUAACCUGAAGGGGCUUGUCAAAACAGCUUUCCCUGUAGCUCUAGCCUUCAGUAUGUUUUCUCUGUCCUCCUCCCCUGACAUCAUGUCAAGAGAUUCAAUGUAGGAUACAGUUUCUUGAGAAAAUAUCACUGGCGCAUACUCAUCUCGUAUUGGUGAACGCUCCUUCUCCAUUGUCUUUAUUGUCCAUCCAUGUUGCCUCUCAAAUUCCUUCCUCUCUGAAUCAACCACCCUCUGUGCAUAGGCUACCCCACUCAACAAUGGCCGCUCAAAUGAUGUUCUAGCAGUGUAUUCAGCAAAUGUUUCCUGGUCAAUUGCAGAUGGGUUUUUGUUGUAAUGGAACGUAGACACAAGAAUGGCAAGCGCAUGGACAUGGUUAACACUAACACUGAAUUGAUCUUGCAACAUUCUUGCCCUUUGAUCACACAUGCUACCCAGUACUUCCUUUCUUCUUACUUUAUUAUCAGCAUCCAUGCCAUUGUAUAUCAUCCAACUAAUAAAUGCCACAAGCAUGACCCAGAGCAACAGGAAUUUAGGAAGCCAAGCCCUGUGAGCUUGGAUAAAUGUGUACCCCCUUUUUGUCCCCAUCUGCUGCUCAUUUACCUUGACAGCUACAGAGUGGUGGUGGUGGUGGUGAUGUUGUGGAGGAGGCAGAGACUGGGUGUUGGAUCAAGUUCAGGUUCAUGGGGAGCUGCAUUUCUUCAAGAUCCAAAGUUGAUAGCUCUGUUAGUGGGACCAGUACUCAUUGCGAAAGUAAAUCAAUUAAUGAUACAAGUAUAGACCAACCAGCAGCUCCUGCAGUCUCAUCUACAACGACAAGUAAUACAGAAAGUAAUUCAUCAACCUCCAAACUUGAAGAGGACCUAAAAAUUGCUUCUCGACUGCGAAAAUUUACAUUUAAUGAUCUUAAGUUGGCAACAAGAAAUUUUAGACCUGAGAGUCUUCUUGGUGAAGGUGGUUUUGGCUGUGUUUUUAAGGGGUGGAUUGAAGAAAAUGGAACUGCUCCGGUGAAACCUGGUACGGGACUUACUGUUGCCGUUAAAACCCUUAAUCAUGAUGGGCUUCAGGGUCAUAAAGAGUGGUUGGCUGAAGUGAAUUUUCUUGGUGAUCUUGUUCAUCCUAACUUGGUUAAACUGAUCGGUUAUUGCAUUGAAGAUGAUCAGAGGCUGCUAGUCUAUGAGUUUAUGCCUCGAGGAAGCCUCGAGAACCACCUAUUUAGAAGAUCUCUUCCUCUUCCAUGGUCCAUAAGGAUGAAAAUUGCCCUAGGUGCUGCAAAAGGUCUUGCUUUUCUUCAUGAAGAAGCGGAAAGGCUAGUCAUAUAUCGCGAUUUUAAGACCUCCAAUAUUCUAUUAGAUGCGGAUUAUAAUGCCAAGCUUUCUGAUUUUGGACUUGCUA
rnacentral:misc_RNA from 1 species